rnacentral:rRNA from 1 species
GCCAGACUCCUACGGGAGGCAGCAGUGAGGAAUAUUGGUCAAUGGGCGGGAGCCUGAACCAGCCAAGUCGCGUGAGGGAAGACGGUCCUAUGGAUUGUAAACCUCUUUAGGCGGGGAGCAAUGCCGGGCACGCGUGCCCGGAGGGAGAGUACCCGCAGAAUAAGCAUCGGCUAACUCCGUGCCAGCAGCCGCGGUAAUACGGAGGAUGCGAGCGUUAUCCGGAUUUACUGGGUGUAAAGGGAGCGUAGACGGCCAGACAAGUCUGAAGUGAAAAGCCGGCGCUUAACGUUGGAAGUGCUUUGGAAACUGCCGGGCUAGAGUGCAGGAGGGGCAGGCGGAAUUCCUGGUGUAGCGGUGAAAUGCGUAGAUAUUAGGAGGAACACCAGUGGCGAAGGCGGCCUGCUGGACUGCAACUGACGUUGAGGCUCGAAGGCGUGGGGAGCAAACAGGAUUAGAUACCCUUGUA